rnacentral:rRNA from 1 species
UACGUAGGCAGCAAGCGUUGUUCGGAGUUACUGGGCGUAAAGGGCGCGCAGGCGGCGCAUUUUGUCAGGCGUGAAAGCCCCGGGCUUAACCUGGGAACUGCGUUUGAUACGGAUGGGCUAGAGUUCGGGAGAGGAGAGUGGAAUUCCCAGUGUAGAGGUGAAAUUCGUAGAUAUUCGGAAGAACACCAGUGGCGAAGGCGGCUCACUGGACUGGUAUUGACGCUGAGGUGCGAAAGCGUGGGGAGCAAACAGG